ACAGGUAAGGAUAAUGAAACAAGAUUUCCAUGCAGUAAGUGUGCUGAAAUAACCAGAAAAUUCCAAAGACUGGAAAAAGAAGAUCAUUCCCAAAAAGUGCCCCAGCAUCACAGAAACCCACACUCAGGCUCACAGUGCAGGGAGACACACACUUACUCUGAAGCACGAGUCUGCCUGGGAGGAUCCAUCCCAACCUUCGGCACAGGUGGCCACGGGGAACUGUCCUGGAGGAGCAGUAGGUGGCACUCCCACUGCCCACUGUUUGCAAAGAUAAUUUGAUGUCUUCUCACAGCUAACAACAUCCCAUAAUCCAGCUGCAGUUCCCAUGGCAACACACCCUUGCUCUUUUCCUUUGUGAUACGGAAACAAAAUGAGUGAAACCAAGCCUUAAAAGAUU